AUUGAACGCUGGCGGCAGGCUUAACACAUGCAAGUCGAGCGAGCGGCGGACGGGUGAGUAAUGUCUGGGAAACUGCCUGAUGGAGGGGGAUAACUACUGGAAACGGUAGCUAAUACCGCAUACCAUCAGAUGUGCCCAGCUGGGAUUAGCUAGUAGGUGGGGUAACGGCUCACCUAGGCGACGAUCCCUAGCCGGCCUGAGAGGGUGACCGGCCACAGUGGGACUGAGAUACGGCCCAGACGCCUACGGGAGGCAGCAGUGGGGAAUAUUGAACAAUGGGCGCAAGCCUGAUGCAGCCAUGCCGCGUGUGUGAAGAAGGCCUUCGGGUUGUAAAGCACUUUCAGCGAGGAGGCGUUACUCGCAGAAGAAGCACCGGCUAACUCCGUGCCAGCAGCCGCGGUAAUUC
rnacentral:rRNA from 1 species